UACGAAGGGGGCUAGCGUUGCUCGGAAUUACUGGGCGUAAAGCGCACGUAGGCGGAUUGUUAAGUCAGGGGUGAAAUCCUGGAGCUCAACUCCAGAACUGCCUUUGAUACUGGCAAUCUUGAGUCCGGAAGAGGUGAGUGGAACUCCUAGUGUAGAGGUGGAAUUCGUAGAUAUUAGGAAGAACACCAGUGGCGAAGGCGGCUCACUGGUCCGGUACUGACGCUGAGGUGCGAAAGCGUGGGGAGCAAACAGG
rnacentral:rRNA from 1 species